rnacentral:rRNA from 1 species
AUAAUGGGUCAGCGACUUAUAUUCUGUAGCAAGGUUAACCGAAUAGGGGAGCCGAAGGGAAACCGAGUCUUAACUGGGCGUUAAGUUGCAGGGUAUAGACCCGAAACCCGGUGAUCUAGCCAUGGGCAGGUUGAAGGUUGGGUAACACUAACUGGAGGACCGAACCGACUAAUGUUGAAAAAUUAGCGGAUGACUUGUGGCUGGGGGUGAAAGGCCAAUCAAACCGGGAGAUAGCUGGUUCUCCCCGAAAGCUAUUUAGGUAGCGCCUCGUGAAUUCAUCUCCGGGGGUAGAGCACUGUUUCGGCAAGGGGGUCAUCCCGACUUACCAACCCGAUGCAAACUGCGAAUACCGGAGAAUGUUAUCACGGGAGACACACGGCGGGUGCUAACGUCCGUCGUGAAGAGGGAAACAACCCAGACCGCCAGCUAAGGUCCCAAAGUCAUGGUUAAGUGGGAAACGAUGUGGGAAGGCCCAGACAGCCAGGAUGUUGGCUUAGAAGCAGCCAUCAUUUAAAGAAAGCGUAAUAGCUCACUGGUCGAGUCGGCCUGCGCGGAAGAUGUAACGGGGCUAAACCAUGCACCGAAGCUGCGGCAGCGACGCUGAUGCGUUGUUGGGUAGGGG